UGCAAACUAUUCCACAAGGGACCUCAUGGACGACUUAUUAUGUAUCUAUGGGACCUGGUCUCGUUUGAAGUUGUCCAUUGACAAUGACUUGCUUGACUACAACUGGUAGUUGUACUUUCCUGCAGAAAGUUGGUGGCGUGGCAGUAGAGGAGGAGAACCUCGACCAAUAGCAAGACGCCUAGGUUUUGUUGUCUCAUCUAAAAGGAUCAUCUACUUACAAUGGGACCUGGUCUCGUUUGAAGUUGUCCAUUGACAAUGACCUGCUUGACUACAACUGGUAGUUGUACUUUCCUGCAGAAAGUUGGUGGCGUGGCAGUAGAGGAGGAGAACCUCGACCAAUAGCAAGACGCCUAGGUUUUGUUGUCUCAUCUAAAAGGAUCAUCUACUUACAACAAAACCUAGUUUUUUGCAAACAUCAAGAUUGAACUUUCGAAGGGGAGCCUUGGAGUAACUGGUAAAGUUGUUGCCAGGAGGUCACGGGUUCAAGCCUUGGAGAAAGCCUCUGGCAGAAAUGCAAGGUAAGGUUGCGUACGAUACACCCUUGUGGUGGGCCCUUCCCCGGACACCGCGCAUAGCGGUAGCUUUAGUGCACCAGGCUGCCCUUUUUUAUCAAGAUUGAACUUCUAAGAAGCAAAAGCUACUCUUGAACACAGCUCAUACAAGGGACCUGAUUGCUUGCUCAUCUUAAGUCUUGUGUGUGUUGUAUUAUUGGUUCUUUUGGUCUUACAUUGUAACGACUCCUGAUUAUAAAGGAUAGUAGAUGUGUAGCUUGUCCAAGUUUUAGCUCUAGUCGAAGCAACUAGAGUUGGUUGUUCGAGUCAUUUUUAAGUUGGUCAAGUAUUUGUUCGUCUCAUUCUUGUGUUGUGUCGAGUCCUGGGUAGAGUUGCCUAGGAUGUGUGACUAGAGCUAGCCAGUUGUGUGUUAAGAGCUAUCACACUUGUCUUGUCAUAGAGUUAUUACAAGAGUUGUUGGUGAUUAUAGGAUUUUGUAUCACUUGGUGGCUUGAAGAAGAGUGAAGUUUGGAAAUCCUGAUAGCAAGUCGUGGUUUUUACUUCCUUGAGCAAGGAAGUUUCACUUCUUAACAUAUAAGCAAUGAGCAGUUACGACAAGAACAACAACAACAUACCCAGUGUAAUCCUACAAGUGGGGUCUAGGGAGAGUAGGAUGUACCCCUACCUUCAUGGGGUUGAGAGGAUGUUUCCGAUAGACCCUCGGCGGCUCAAAAGAAGCAUAAUCAAAA
rnacentral:lncRNA from 1 species